rnacentral:lncRNA from 1 species
ACGAAGCACUAGUGAUUGUAACCGGCUACCAAUACACGUGAUCUUGUAGUCCGUGGAGGAAGUGCGCAGUUACUUACGAGCCUAUAGGGGAUAUGAAUCAACGCACAGAUACAAACGCGCAGCAAAACAGGCCACGCAAAGCAAUUCAGUAAUGUGCAGAAUCUAUGCCUGCUAGCUGGUUCUGGUCUACCAAGACGCUCUAAGAUGCUUCAGGGGUUGUAAAAGGUAAGUUCGGUAGAAAUUGAUGGGCUCACUUUGCACAAUCGUCUGAGACAUGAGAACGGAAAGACUUAUCGGAAGAGUUACACUACAUGUUUGAUGAGCCUUAAUAUUCCGAAAGAAGGUAAGUCAUAAUCUUUCUCAUAGAAGCGUUUUCCUAGUGAAGAACUAAGCAAUCUCGAUGCUGUGCUCAAAGAAAAACGGCCAUUUCACGAACGGGUGAUCGAAGUUCCUAGUGAUUUAUCAUCGCUACUAGAUCGGUAAUUAUCACGGUUUCAAUGAAUGUACCAAUUGGGGACGCUGAUCGUCGAUGCCCGCGUCGUUGCAGUGAAACAUCUAUUGCAAAGGCUUAACCCAUCGAACAAUAAGUCAAUCAGCGUAUGUAUAGGAAGCGACCUAAAAAUGCCAUUGGACUUAGCCCUCUAAUUUUCAGAAAAGGAAAAGUGUUAGCUAGGAUACUUCAGCUUCCGCUUUUAAGUGAAAGCGGAAUAAUUUCGUAUGAAAACAUGAAAAACUAACAUAGGGAUGGCUCAGGUUCUAACAGUUUAGAACCUACCGUCUUGAAGCUUUUCGUGCCAAGAGAAUCCAAUUCCAUCGGUAGGCGCCCUGCUGAUCCAGUUGUUACAGAAGUUCCUCAAAUAGCAGGGUUUCGCAGCAUUAGGCAUCUAGGAGUGUAGGGCAAUUCAGCGAAAAUAGAACACGUACGACAAGCAUAGCAUUAGUGAUGGAAAAAGCCGGCGAUCGUUUACAAUGAUUAAUUCGUUCAAAGAACGGCGUCACGUGAGGUACGGGUUCCAUUGGAGAAAUUAAAGACAAGCACGUACUCUAUUUCGGGGCAAAGAUAGGAUAUUUGCAAGCAUUCCAUUGUUCAGAACUGGUCGAUAGGCUUCGUGGACUCGAGUUUGUCGUGUCGUGGCAAACCGACACUGCGGAAAUUCAAUCUGGGACCAGGAAGCGCUACCCGACGAGCGUGUGGUCAUGCUAGAAAAACGCGAAAAUGUGCCAGAAGAGCAUGGUAAAAAAGUUGGAACGCAAAACAUAAAAACUGAAGUAAAUGUGCACGAGCUACAAUGAAGCAACGCUUGUGCCAACAAACGGGCCGAAAAACGGAGAUGGUCAAAAAAUAACAUGGAGCGAAGCUGAAUAAACCCAAAGUUAAAAAAAAUUGGAAAAAAAACGCCAGAUAGUGAAGCGUAUUACCAUUAAAAAGUUUGUUUUGUAUUUGAUGAUAUGGCCACAGUUAUCGAUACAUUUUCAAGAGGUACUAGUACUGCAGAAGAGGAAAUCAUCGAAGAUGCGUCUAAGAGAUUAUCUAUAGGGAAAAAAAGUAGAGCGGGCGAGUUCAAAGGAAGGAGGAUCCUAAGUCUUGAAACGAAUCCGGUUCGGGUUAUGUCAAAAUCGCAAGCUCUGCACGAUGUAUGUGCACGCUUUUCGACGAGCGCAUUUUAUGGACGCAUUUGUUAAAAUGCGUUAAUACAGUGUAAAUAAGGGAACGUUUGAGUGGUAUUUAUGUAACAAGUCAUUUUGUUGAUACGCACGUGUUUAUAAGGAAUACAAAUCCCUCGCAUAUCAUUUUCAGAGGACGAAAGGUACAUCUAGAAAAUGAUUAUCCUGGAAAUAACAACCCGUUAAGGGAAAAAUUAGGACCUCAAACAGCUCAUCUCUAACAAAACCGAAAUAACGGACUGGGUUCUUCAAGCAAGCUUUCCACAGGAUGUCGACUAUUGCGUAAAAUCAUAUUUAUUCGGUUCUUCAUCAAUCAUAUUUAUUCGAUAUUCAUUCGAAUAAAGUGCCACGUACUUUGACAAGCUAAACGUUCCGCAAGAAAUACCUCUUCUACAAACUAGAUUCAUCUAGGCACGCGAAGCCUAUUUAAAGUUGUUAGCUCUAUCAAUGGAAGCCAAUCUUGAACGACAAACCUUAAUUUCGUAGCUUAUGGCGUUGCUAGGAUCUCGGCAGGUCGUGGCCAGAUCUCGGCGUUUCAUGAUUCAGGAACUAUUAGCUGAUCUGGUGACCUGAUUCGAGCGCUGAGAUAGCUUGAUAUUUCGAAUUCAAGAUGAAUCAAUGCACUUAGCGUCGUUUUAGGUAGCUUAUAGGAUGCGUGGAAGCCUUUAAAAGAAAUUUUUUUUUCCUUCCCAAAAUUCCCAAAAUUUUAGUCCUUCUCGAGCAGACAUAGCCGCGUCUAUCUACACAGCAGAAACCGCAUUACGGUACUCCUUCACGACCCAUUGUUUUCAGGACUACCGUCGAGGCAAGAAUUUUCGAUGGAAAAGUGCAUAAGCGUGAUCUAAUAUUUGUAUGCCAUAUGCCAGUGUUUCGAAUGACUUUGGUCUUCGAUUUACAAGAAAAUCGAUGAGUUUUCCGUCCAACCUGUUACUCCAGACAUCAAUCUCGUAAUGUAAUGUAGUGUAAGAGUCCUUUUGCUAAAGUGAACCGAGAGUCUUCAGAAGUGCAGAAUUUGUUUGGCGCUAAAAGUUGGGACCGUAAUAUAUAAUAAAAAAAAAAAAUGAAAUAUUGCUGAUUGCGUAUCGAUU